UACGAAGGGGGCUAGCGUUGCUCGGAAUCACUGGGCGUAAAGCGCACGUAGGCGGACUCUUAAGUCAGGGGUGAAAUCCUGGAGCUCAACUCCAGAACUGCCUUUGAUACUGGGAGUCUUGAGUUCGGGAGAGGUGAGUGGAACUGCGAGUGUAGAGGUGAAAUUCGUAGAUAUUCGGAAGAACACCAGUGGCGAAGGCGGCUCACUGGUCCGGUACUGACGCUGAGGUGCGAAAGCGUGGGGAGCAAACAGG
rnacentral:rRNA from 1 species